rnacentral:tRNA from 1 species
AAGGGUAUAGUUUAAAGGCAAAACAAGGGGCUUCAAACCUCUCUUUUUCAGUUCGAGUCUGUAUGCUCUUG